rnacentral:rRNA from 1 species
AACGAACGCUGGCGGCAUGCCUAACACAUGCAAGUCGAACGAGACCUUCGGGUCUAGUGGCGCACGGGUGCGUAACGCGUGGGAACCUGAAUUUAGGUUCGGACUAACUCAGAGAAAUUUGAGCUAAUACCGGAUGAUGUCUUCGGACCAAAGAUUUAUCGCCUUUGGAUGGGCCCGCGUUGGAUUAGCUAGUUGGUGGGGUAAAGGCUUACUAAGGCGACGAUCCAUAGCUGGUCUGAGAGGAUGAUUAGCCACACUGGGACUGAGACACGGCCCAGACUCCUACGGGAGGCAGCAGUGGGGAAUAUUGGACAAUGGGCGAAGUCCUGAUCCAGCAAUGCCGCGUGAGUGAUGAAGGCCGUAGAGUUGUAAAGCUCUUUUACCCGAGAUGAUAAUGACAGUAUCGGGAGAAUAAGCUCCGGCUAACUCCGUG